GACAUGGUGUCUAGGUUGAUUUUUGAGCCGAUAGUAUGCUAUAGUAGAUAUUGGAUAUUUUGUUGGACUAACCCCUGUAGGAAAACUUUCAAUAUCAACCUGGAAGUCCCGAGAUAAACCCACAUUGAAGACAAAGAGAGAGACACAUGAAGUUUAACAAUUUACACAAUGAAGGCAUAGCUCACAAGAGAUGAUCCAUGGAGGGUGCCACAAACACAAUGCACAACCGCUAAGAAAGGAAAGCUUCCACAAAGUGAUACUGUACCAUCACUCUUCAAGUAAGGUAACAUCUUAAGGUACUUGACUAUCACUUUUAUAAGUUUCUCCUUGGUUCUAACGUUCACAUGAAUAAAAGUGACAAACAUGUAUGAUUACAACUCUAGAUUAACCAACCCAGUCGAUUCAACAUGUUUAGUCCUUCCACCUUUGUGAUCCCAUACUCCUAAUAUGAGCUAAAAUGUUGCACAUGCAAUCUUUGGAAGAUAUAUAAAAAAACAUAACUAUAGAUAGAUUAUCUUUCCAUUAGGUUGAGCGAUCUGAUCUGACAAAUGUUUUAAAUGCUACACUCAUGAUUUUAUUAUCCAUCAACUUUGUCUUGCUCACUAUGCUUAAGGUUAGAGAAGAACAAAUACACUUUUGGUUCUGUUGGUGUUUUCCACCAACAGGGCCCAUGCACUUGAUCUCUGCCUUGUCUCUAUGAGCAGGUACACUUCGAGCAAAAUAUGAAGGAGUUUUACAACUCUUAGACUCCACCAAGUGAAGAACCUGGAUCUACGAGCACAACACACUGGAGAUACUGGACACUCAGGCAAUCACUGCCCUGAGAUGCUUGAGGACGUAAACUACAUCAACAACAACAACUACUACAACCGUCCUCAACAAAAUCAAGGUUGGAAUCAACAGAGGCCUAACUACUCAGGAUGCCCCGUCAUCUCGAUCUCCAUCGGCAUGGUGGACUUCCCAGAAGCACUCUGCGACUUUGGCUCCAGCAUCAACAUUAUGCCUAGGACUUCGUGGUGAUAGAGACUAGUAUUGAUGAGAGGGCACCCAUCAUCCUAGGGAGCCCAUUCCUGAAUACCUCGGGAGCUAUUAUCUACGCUAGUACUGCCAAGAUCAGUUUUUACAUCAAGGGGAGGAAGGAGACGUUUUCCUACAAGAACAAGACUACACAAAUCUCAGAGCAAUCCCAACAUGAACCAAGGAAGAGGACCAAGAGGAGGAACAGGAACAAGCAAAUGUGGACCGAGUCAGCUAAGAUGGUCACUGCAGUUCAAGGAGGUCAAGACCGUUGACUUAAGUCACCGUUCCUGACCAAAAAGGACGACCCAGUCACCUAUCAGCUCCUGUUUGGAACCAUGCCCUUAAAACCGACAUACACCCAGCUCCAGAUGGCAGAUCAAACAUUUCAGAAGGUUGAAGUUAUUGACAUAGGAGAAGAUGAGUACGAUCCACCCAUCAUCCUUGAGAGACCGUUCUUCAGCUCCGUUAAAGCAAUCAUCUACAUUGGAACUGGAGAAGUCCACAUGAACUUCCCCUCUAAGAAGGUACGCCGCUAUUUUAUUGACCCUAACUAUAUAGUUGAAGAUUCUAAGCAGGUCAGGACAAGAAGAAGACGACGCAACCGCAACCAGAGGAGGCAAAUCAUCAAGGACGGAUGGGCAGACUACGAAGGAGAAGUAGUAAGAUCUGAAGACAUACAGCUUGAACAGAACUGUCCUGAGGAGACCGUAGCACCGAGUCAGGUGUGGAGAGAGAAGAUAGUUAUACACGAAGAGCAGGCGCCACCGGAACCACCGACUAUGCCAUCCAGCGAAUCCUAGGACGAGCGAAUCCGAGGACGACUGAGGAAACGGAGAGUCCCGUUCGGAGGACUUAAAAACACCGAACGCCUUGCCAAGAGGUAAACUUGGUAGUUAUCCUUUUCCUUUCAAUUAUUUAAAAUAGUUUGCUUAGUUAGUCAGGUUCAUAUUAUCUCGAAAAGAAAAUAAAAAUGUUAAAAAUAGUAAGCCCCAUGUGAGUAUGCUCAUGGCGUAAAACCCAUAAGUACAUUCACUGUGGUGGUGUAAAAAAAUGAAAUAAAUAUAUUCCUGUCCUAUAAAAAUAAAAAUAUAAAAAUAAGAUUGUGAUCCUACUAAAGAGAGUAAUAUUCAUUAGAGGAGGCUCAACAUGAUAAAGGCUAGAUACUUAUGCUAACACUUAACCAGUUCCACAAAGCUUUGUUGUCUAUUUGAGCUCCAUGGAAUUCAAGGAUAAGAGAACACUAGCAGACGAAGGACAUCCUAAUCGCUGUCAGGGUGCUGCCGACAUUCAAAUACACCUCCACCACCUGCUUGUUACAUCAGAAGAAAUUGUGUCAAAAUCCGGCUUGGGGGAGAGCACCCCCAUUUAUCCAGCUAAGUAUUUUACUCACGUUUAUACUUUACUCUAAUAGUAAAAAGAUGCAUAAUCAUAUAAACCCAAAUAAAGAUUUUAUGCUUAUAUAUAUAUUUGCUUAGUUUGCUAAAUAAAUAAAUAAAUAAAUAAAUAAAGUUUGCUAUGAACCCUCAUGAUAAGCUCUCACAUGGAAAUGAUGAAUAGUUACUCUGCCAUGACUAGUUCUCAAAACUGAAAUCUCUCUCAAGUUUAGGCAUAACUGUUAUAAUUUAAACCUGCUCUAAACCUGAACUUGUGGGAAGAGUACUUGAUCUGAAGUCUAAGUCGUUAACGGAUAUGAUAUGGGAAGGUUGCUGUUUAUCUGUUCCUAGAGAUGCUAGAAUUCUGGAGAAUUUUAUCUUUGAAAACCUUUAAAAUAAUACAUGAUGAGUUCCUGUAUGAUGAGAGUUUAAUUUCCUACCAUAGCCAUAUAUACAUGCUUAUUAAACUAUGAACCAUACAUUUACUUUUUACUGCUUAUGAGCAUUGAGUGUGGUCAAGCUGUGUAGGCCCUUAGGAGCUUGUCAUGUGGUUAAAUCAAGAUUCACUUGCACGUUCACUCACACAUGCUGCUUCUACUCCGAAAGUACGCAUCCACAUAUAUCCACCCAUUUCCAUCUCCAGAACCACCCAAAAAUAUUCUACUCCUAAUCCAGGAGAGAAUAGCCAAAAACAUUUCUGUUUUCCCCUGUGAAAUAAAUGCUCAAGUUAUCUUGGUUACUACCACUUGCUACAUUAUUCCAGGAGGGUGAGUGCUCUGAAAAAAAGUGAAUACGAGGAAAUAAAAAGGGGCAAGUGCUCGGAACCUCGAAAAAAAGAAAGGAAAAAGUGAGACGAGAGGUAAAAAUGGACAAGUGUCCGACAGUAGAAUUAGGGGUAUAAGAUACCGACCUGAGAGAAAAGAAAAAAAAGAAAAUAUAGAGCAUCUCAUUCCCCUCAAAAAGUUUCAAAAGAGCAAGAAAGGUAUGUAUCCCCUCAAAAGAGCAUAAGUAGAAUUAGACUUUCACUAUUGUUAUCACCAUCAUCACCAUACACCAUUCAUUCGCCACACAUGCACAUCUUGAUUUGACUUAUUGACUUGUUCUUCUGGAUCCAUGGUUUGACUAUGCAAUAAAUGUCUUGUAAGUAUGUAUUAGCUGUCUGCCACCUAUGAGCUCCAGAUAUCAAAACCUUAUUAGAGUAGGGUGAGAGAGAAAGCAAUGCCACUAUGCCUCAUACCAAAAAUACCACAUACUUUGAGAGAAGGCAUACACCAUUACUGCCUUGGUAAGGAUCUAGAAAUACCACAAAAGAGAGACUAGAGUGAGUCAUACAAGAAAUCUCUGAGUUUUAUUUGAAAAUCUACAAAAACUCCAGAGCUAUAGUUAAUCAAAGAAGAAGAGACAUGGCGCUUGACUAGACCGUUCUAUCUUUUAACUGCUUAAGACAUAAGUGACGGUUCCAAGCCCCAUGGUGGAAGGUAAAAUGAGUAAGUUUAAAUCUUAAGAGUUUACCCUAACCCAAAGAUGAUAUCUUGUUUGAAUGCAUGUGUACCUUUAAGGCAUGAAACCACUGCAGAAACUCUUGAGUUCAUCUUUGCUCAGGAACGAGCAAAGGUUAAGCUUGGGGGAGCUUGUUGACGGUCCUUAAUGCUCACAUUUAACCAUCAACUAAUCAUGGAAAAGGAUCCAAAUGCAACCAACACCCAGACUUAAGGUGUUUUGGUGUUUGUCUAUUUCUGCAGGGGGUUAUCAGGAAAUACGGAAGAAAGGCCCACACGUCAGGUUUACAUAGAGAUAUUAACGUGCCGCGCAAUUUUCUAUCAUCUAGAAGAUUCCAGAAGCCACGGGAACAAAGCGGAAGCCGAGACGGCUCAGGGAUAGGGCGCCGGCCCUAGUCCUGAGGGCGCCCGCCCUGCUACAGUGCCCAAUCAGAGUCUAAUUUGGGGAUCACGCUCCACCGAUCUAAAGGAUCAAGGAAAACUGUGCGAUUAAUGUCAGUUUGAUCCGACGGCCCAGAUUCAUCUGAAAAAGACUAUAUAAGCAAGGCGCCCUGGCCCCUAGAGAUCAUACCUCUUCUACAGAAUCAAAGUUAGAGUUUCAAUUCUUCAUCCAAGUAGAGAGGAUCCCUCUAGUUCUUCUAGUUCUACCUCUAGUUCAUCUAGUUCUAGUUCUAGUUCAUCUAGUUCUAGUUCUAGUUCCUCUAGUUCUAGUUCUAGUUAGUUCUAGUUAUAGUUCUAGUUAGUUCUAGUUCUAGUUCUACUUUUGCAGCAACUGGUUCGUUCUACGUCGUUCUCCAGGUUCUUCAACUCAUAAUUCCUGAGUUCUUUAAUUACUUUUAUUUACAUUCAAGUUAUUUAUCGGAUUCUCGCUUGCAUCAAGUGCUCUAAUCUUUGAAACAUUAGAGUAGUAAUUAAUAGAUUAGACGUGGUGUUUAGUCUUGCAAUUACCUGGAAUUGCACCCAAUCCUGCGGAUUGUUGUGGUAGCCUUAGGGUAGUGACAGCCCUAACGGUCGACGUAUUCCACCACGUUCGGAUCGGUGUUUGUAGGACCGUAGUCAGACCUUCCUAGCCCCCUUCUCAUCUGUUUCUGUGGUUAGUGCUCUGAUGUCCCGAUAUAAAUAAUCUUUGAAGUAAUUCUUGAUUCUUAGAUCAACUAUAGAACUCUUAGGAAACUUCCUCUCUUCCCACCAAAAAUAAUUAUAUAGUUAUCCUUGGGCGAUCUUGGAUCUUAAUUAGUACACUCACGUUCUCUGUGGAAAAUCGAUACUCUGGAAUACUCCCGGGUGAAAGCUACAUCGGUAUCCGUGCGCUUGCGGAUUUUUCUGUUUGCGUUUAAAAUACCCAACAACUACCACUUGCUAUAUUAUUUCAGGAGAUGAGUGCUCAAAAAAAAGAAAGAGAAAGAAUACGAGGAAAUAAAAAGGGGCAAGUGCCCGGAACCUCGAAAGAAAAGAAAAAGUGAGACGAGAGGUAAAAAUGGAUAAGUAUCCGACAGUAGAAUUAGGGGUACAAGAUACCCACCUGAGAGAAAAAGAAAAUAUAGAGCAUCUCAUUCUCCUCAAAAAGUUUCAAAAGAGCAAGAAAGGUAUGUAUCACCUUAAAAGAGCAAAAACUAGAAUUAGACUUUCACCAUUGUUAUCACCAUCAUCACCAUACACCAUUCACUCGCCACACAUGCACAUCUUGAUUUGACUUAUUGACUUGUUCUUCUGGAUCUAUGGUUUGACUAUGCAAUAAAUGUCUUGUAAGUAUGUAUUAUGUGUCUCCCACCUAUGAGCUCCAGAUAUCAAAACCUUAUUAGAGUAGGGUGAGAGAGAAGGCAAUAUCACUAUGCCUCAUACCAAAAAUACCACAUACUUUGAGAGAAGGAAUAUACCAUUGUUGCCUUGGAAAGGAUCCAGAAAUACCACAAAAGAGAGAUUUGAGAGUCAUACAAGGAAUCUCUGAGUUUUAUUUGAAAAUCUACAAAAACUCCAGAGCUAUAGCUGAUCAAAGAACAAGACACAUGGCGCUUGACUAGACUGUUCUAUCUUUUAACUGCUCAAGACACAAGUGACGGUUGCACGCCCC
rnacentral:lncRNA from 1 species